rnacentral:rRNA from 1 species
AAGGUAGCGAAAUUCCUUGUCGGGUAAGUUCCGACCCGCACGAAUGGUGUAACGAUCUGGGCACUGUCUCAACUACCCACCCGGCGAAAUUGUAGUACCGGUGAAGAUGCCGGUUACCUGCGGCAAGACGGAAAGACCCCAUGGAGCUUUACUGUAGCCUGAUAUUGGGUUUCGGAAAUCUAUGUACAGGAUAGGCGGGAGACUGGGAAGUAUGAGCGUCAGCUUAUACGGAGUCAUUGUUGGGAUACCGCCCUUAGGUUUCUGGAAUUCUAACCUGCGACCGUGAAUCCGGUCGGGGGACAUUGUCAGGUGGGCAGUUUGACUGGGGCGGUCGCCUCCGAAAAGGUAACGGAGGCGCUCAAAGGUUGGCUCAGCACGGACGGAAACCGUGCCUCAGAGUGUAAACGCAAAAGCCAGCCUAACUGCGAGGAUGACGGUCCGAGCAGUAACGAAAGUUGGAGUUAGUGAUCCGGCGGUAUGUGAAUGGAAAUGCCGUCGCUCAACGGAUAAAAGCUACCCUGGGGAUAACAGGCUGAUCUCCCCCAAGAGUCCACAUCGACGGGGAGGUUUGGCACCUCGAUGUCGGCUCAUCGCAUCCUGGGGCUGUAUUCGGUCCCAAGGGUUUGGCUGUUCGCCAAUUAAAGCGGUACGCGAGCUGGGUUCAGAACGUCGUGAGACAGUUCGGUCCCUAUCUGUCGUGGGCGUAGGAUAUUUGCAAGGAGCUGUCCCUAGUACGAGAGGACCGGGAUGGACGCACCUCUGGUGCACCAGUUGUCACGCCAGUGGCACAGCUGGGCAGCUAUGUGCGGAACGGAUAAACGCUGAAGGCAUCUAAGCGUGAAGCCGCCCUUAAGAUAAGAUAUCCCUUCUGUUUACAGAGUAAGACCCCUUGAAGACUACAAGGUUGAUAGGCUCAAAGUGUAAGCACGGUGACGUGUUUAGCUAGCGAGUACUAAUCGGUCGAGGGCUUAACCU